rnacentral:lncRNA from 1 species
AGUGGACAGCUACCCACGAGGCAUCACACAGCCAGGACAGGGGACGGCCACACUGGCUGGAGUCUCCAAGCCCAUCAAGAGCAAGUUUUGCUAAAAGUGUUCUGAGAGCUUAUGAAGCACAUGGACAAGGAAGGGUUGUGCAUCCGGCUUUCCACCUUAAACUGGUUUCUAUGGUGCUUCAUCGAUGAGAUAAGGAUGCAUAGGAGACCCCAGGCCAGGAGUUCCUUCAGGACACACUGUCCUAGGCCUGGGCCCUGGAGGAGGACAUGGUGAUGAGGCACCCUGAGGCCUCCAUGGGGGAACUGAGAAGCAUGCACUGUGACCUGCACACCCAGGUGGGCUUCAGCACCAAGUCUCCUCCUGUGUCACCCUGCGGGGCAGUAAAUAGUGGGAAGUGCCCAGACCUC